rnacentral:rRNA from 1 species
UACGGAGGAUGCGAGCGUUAUCCGGAUUUAUUGGGUUUAAAGGGUGCGUAGGCGGGAUGUUAAGUCAGCGGUGAAAGUUUGCGGCUCAACCGUAAAAUUGCCGUUGAAACUGGCGUUCUUGAGUGUAAACGAGGUAGGCGGAAUGUGACGUGUAGCGGUGAAAUGCUUAGAUAUGUCACAGAACCCCGAUUGCGAAGGCAGCUUACCAGCAUACAACUGACGCUGAGGCACGAAAGCGUGGGUAUCAAACAGG